GAGUCUUGCUCUUGUUACCCAGGUUGGAAUGCAGCGGCAUGAUCUCGGCUCAAUGCAACCUCCGCCUCCUGGUUCAAGCGAUUCUCCUACCUCAGCCUCCUGAGUAGCUGGGAUUACAGGCGCCCGCCACCACGCCCGGCUAAUUUUUCUAUUUUUAGUAGAGACGGGGUUUUGCCAUGUUGGCCAGGCUAGUCUCAAACUCCUGACCUUGUGAUCCACCUGCCUCGGCCUCCCAAAGUGCUGGGAUUACAGGCGUGAGCCACCGUGCCUGGCCCAGACCCUCUUUUUCCCUCCUGUCGCUCUUAGAACAAAAUGGAACGUCCUUGUCAUCACUAUCCUGCAUGAACACUGUUCCCAACCUGUUACUUCGGGCACACUGGCCUCCAACUCUGUGUGUGUGUGUGGGUGGGUGGGUGUGCACACGCACGCGUGGACAGGGCUGCUGCAGUGGUACAGAACCUUCUCACUGAGAAGGUGACCUUGAGUAAAGACCCAGAGGAGGAGAGGGAGGGAGCCAAGGACCUUUGGGCUGACAACCAUCCCUCCCUCUGCAACAGCCACAGACUGACUCCUUCACUUCCUUCAACUAUAGCUCAAAGGUCACCUCCUAGAGAGACCCUCCCUGGCCAACCUGGCUCGACAGUGGCCCCAUCCCCCGCAUCCUGACCCCGCCUUACCUCCGGGCUGCAUGGCUGCUAUCCUAUGAUUAUGUCCUUAUCUGCUUGAGGGUCUGACUCCCUUUCUAGAAUGUGAGCUCUGAGAACGCAGGAGUUCUUGUCUUUCUGUCCACUGCUGCAUCCCCUGUGCCUAGCACACGGCCUGGCGCACACAAGCUGCUCAAUAAGUGAUCAAUACAGACAACAGUCCCCAUCCUCAGGGGGAGGUAAACAAAUGAAUAAAAAAGUAUAUUUUGGGGCUGGGCGUAGUGGCUCACGCCUGCAAUCCCAGCACUUUGGAAGGCAGAGGCAGGAGGAUCGCUCGAGGCUAGGAUUUUGAGAACAGCCUGGGCAACAUUGCAAGACCUCUUCUCUACAAACAAUGAAAAAAUUAGCUCCACAUGAGGCUGGGCGUGGUCGCCUGUAACCCCAGCACUUUCGGAGGCUGAGGUGGGCGGAUCGUUUGAGCCCAGGAGUUGGGGGCUGCGGUCAGCUAUGAUCGUGCCACUGCACUCCAGCCUGGGCGACAGAGCGAGACCCUCGCUCAAAAUUAAAAAAGAGAAAGAAAAGAAAAUGGAAGGACAGAGAGGUGAAAAGACAAGUGGAGAUAGGAUCCAGAGGACUGCCUGAGGCCAAAGUCCCCCUUACUUUUAACCAGCAUGCCAGCUACUGAGAUGACAGACAUUUAGCAGCUAAGAGCAAGGACUCUAUAGCCAGGCAGCAUGAGUUCCAAAAUCCCAGCUCUGCCACUUACAAGCUGUGAGAAUUGGGAGCUAGGAAGGCUGGCAGGGUGUGUGAAGAGCGUCUGGUACCUGCAGUGAACAUUUUUCCUGCACCAGAGAUCACCACCGCCCGACAGUCAGCGUCUCUCGAAAUCUUGUUGAAGCACUCUACCAUCUCUCUGUGAAGCAACGAGUGAAGGGCUACAAAUGGGGCGGGAAUACCGUGCCCUCAUGGCCAUCUCCUCACAACGUUCCACUUUCACCCAGUCCCGCAGCCCCGCCUCCCCCCGCAGGCAGGCCUCCAGGAUCUGCAGGUCAGACCUCCAGAAGACCUUGUUCAUGGCAUUCCUCUUGUUGGGCCGGUUGAGCUGAACAUGGAGAACAUGUUUCUGCGCAGACGUCACACGAAGGGACUCAUAGCUGUGGUCUGGGGCUUCACCGAGGGCUACUCCGGAAGCCUCCUCUUGUGCAGG